AUCUGUUACCUUCACUGGAGCUGGAGACACAGUGCCUUGGACCGCUGAGGGCGACUGGAGCAUUUCCCUUCUCGGAUGCUUGGAGUGCCCCCCAUCCUGAACUCACCGCGGGCUCGUGCAGAGCAGCAAGUGACCGUGUUUAGCACCACCAGAGAACCUGAUUUUUCAGCCACGUGGCCUGAUGAUGCUCAGCCUUCAGACUCGUCAGACGGAUGCACGAGGGCCCCUGGAAGGAACCCGGAUCACCAAGGAGGCCAAAACACCAACGUGUCACCGUCACCGCAGAGCAGCUGAAAAUGUGACAUGAUUAGAGAUCAGGGCAGCGAUGAGACAGUUUAUCUUCCCCACACAUAUGGCACUGGGUGAGCCACUGGGAAAUAAAAAAAGCUUCAAUAAAUCAUAUUGUCCCUGCCAUGGAAGCAAUAACACCAGCAACCCCAGGUAGAGGGAGAAGUUUGCUCUGACACCCAUUCCUGAGGUGUCCUGGCUGCAAGCCUGGCACUGCAAAGGACUGGGAAGCCUCAUUCCUGUUGAAUUCAUUCCUGUGCUGGAGUUUGAACUGUUCUUUUAUUAUUUUAGGAGCUUUUACCCCGGGGAGCUGUUUGACUCCAUAAUGGGGUUGUUUGCUUGAGGAAGGCUGGUUUGUAAGGGGAGGCAACAUGUGCAGUGCAAGGCUAGCCAAGCUUUUCCUUGCUAAAUCACCAUUUCUCACUGAAAAUACAGAUGCAAGAGACUUUAUCCAAGCCCUAAAUCCAACUGCUUUGGAGGAGCACCAAGCUGGGCUUGACAAGGAGAUGGGAGCAGGGUGGUUUGUAACCUCCACCCCGUCCCACCAGGCACUGCUGGGGGAUGGCACAGCUCUCUCUGCCCCUCCAGCAGAUCCAGCUCUGCAGGACAGACCUCCAGCCAAAAGCUGCAGGUUGGACAAUCCACCUUUUCUUGCAUAAUCAAUUACUGGGGCUGAAGAAAAGAAACUCAUAACGACUUCCCACUCACACAUCCAACCCCCUACAAAUGGCUUCUUGCCCUGGUGGAACAGAAUAUUGUGAGAGCGCCAGAAAUAGGUAGCAAUCAGAUAAUGCUGCAACCCACUCCCAUCUGCCAUCAGAGAAAAAAAUCCUGCCCAAGUGAAAGCAAGGAAGAGCCGGGAGGAAUCGCCGAGUCCCGCACUGUGCCCUGGGCAUCAGCACCUGCUCCGUGUUCCACACUCUGCCCUUGGAAUGGGAUGGGCAGCACUUUUCCCGAGCCAGGAGGAACUGCUGGUUGCAAAUGAAAGCGCUGGAAUGCUGGAAAGACAUCUGGCUGACAGAGCCAUGCGUUUCCUUUAUAAUGUGAUGUUGGCAAUGUUAUAUGAAAACAUUGAUGAAAAAUGAAGCCAGACACUGGGGGAAACGUGUAAAACUUUGUGGUUCAGUCUUGCAUCACUUUGAGCAUGACCGAGUGGGUUCAGUGUGUAAAACAGCAAGGGACCAGUUCUGCUGCUGGAAAAAAAAAUCAGCAAAAAUCAGCAUACAAGUCAGGGCCUCUUUGCAGCAGCUGCACUGGCACAUGUGGGGGCUCUGCCCAUGCACCAGCUCCUCCACUGGGUGAUGGACCAGCCUUGGAGUCCUGCUUGGGGGAGCUGGGACAGCUCCUGAUGCAGACCAACGCCUCUCAGGACCCAAAUGUCCGCAGGUUGCAUCGUGUCCAGAUCCUUAGGGUGGCACAGGUAACCCGCCCAAUUGAGCUGGGUGGGGUUGGGUUGGGCAGAGCAAGGGUGAGGAUACCCCCACCACAUCCCUGAGCUUGCAGGUGCUUAUCUGGGCUUGCUAACGGGAUGUUGGAUAAAUGACUUCAGCUCUGCCAAGAGGAGAGUUUCCAGAGCUGUCUCAGAGGACACCUUGUUUGUGCUGAAAGGUGAGAGCAAUCCCCUGGGGGCUGGGAUUUGGGGUGGCAGGCAGGACUGGAGGGGGAACCAGCCUCUGCUGGGAUAUGUGGCUAAAGGAAGGGAAAAAAUUAAUCACAAGAAUCCUUUUCAUCAGCUUUCUUUGGCUCUUCUGCCUGGCAACUUUUGGCAACAGCUGAUCUAUGGUGGGUCCUUCAGGACUGAGGCAGGACUCAGUUCCACUCAUGCCCCUGCUCUCUGCCCUGAGAGAGACCAUCAUUCCUGGGAAUGUGUUGGGGCUUGGAUUUCUUCAUCCUGAGUCGUUACUGAAAGGACACCCAUGCUUUUAACCUCUGUGGCAGAGUUAUCAAAGGUGAAUUGAGGAAAUGCAGCCCUGGAGGCUUUGGGCUGGGGUCCUGGGCCAGGGGGAGUGCAGCCCCCCUUCCCCUGCUGUGGGUUUUUGGAAGGAUGGGGAUGUGAGUUGCUGAGGAGCCAGUCCUGAGCAGAGACCUUGCAUGUGUACAGAGAAUGCUGAUUCAUCUCACUGCCACUUGAGACAAAAGAACAUCUAAUUAAGUCACCCGCGUAUAAAUAAAUGUACAAGGUCCAACCUCGGGAGCACAGAACAGCACUGGAAAAACUCAGCAAUGCACAAUAUGCUUUGCCUCUCUCUGGCAGGGCUGGAGCUCACAUCUGGGACUACCCCUUUCUUUAGAAAUACCGAAGAAUGGGAUAAUUUUUUUUGUUGUUUUGGCAGUAUUAGUUUUUACAUCAGACUUAGGUGAUUUUCUCUUUCCCUGCAGUUCAGCUGUGUCUCAGGUACACCGAGGCUUUGAUAACCCUCCAAAUCGAACUCAGAGCAGGGUCCACUUUCCAGCUCGAUCAAAGGGUGCAUGGGGUCCAUAUGUCUUUUUGGAAGAGAGUGAAAAACAACAGCAAGACCAAGAAUAACAGUAAGCAAGUAAUUGCUGGUGCUGCUCUAAUUACCAGCACCCGCUGCACUAAUGGCUGAGCUGAUGCUCCUGCAGCUGCAGGACACGGCCCCAGGCUCCACGUUUUAAUUAACCUCAUUAAAGAGGCUUUGCAUUUUGCUCAGGAAGUGGAGAGUUCUGGCUUAGUCCUGCGGUGGGAGUGAGGAGUGGGCUAACAAGAGC